ACGAACGCUGGCGGCGUGCUUAACACAUGCAAGUCGAACGCUGAAGACCUGGCUUUUGUUGGGUUGGAUGAGUGGCGAACGGGUGAGUAACACGUGAGUAACCUGCCCUCUUCUUUGGGAUAACGCCCGGAAACGGGUGCUAAUACUGGAUAUUCACUGGCCUUCGCAUGGGGGUUGGUGGAAAGGUUUGUUCUGGUGGGGGAUGGGCUCGCGGCCUAUCAGCUUGUUGGUGGGGUGAUGGCCUACCAAGGCUUUGACGGGUAGCCGGCCUGGGAGGGUGACCGGUCACAUUGGGACUGAGAUACGGCCCAGACUCCUACGGGAGGCAGCAGUGGGGAAUAUUGCACAAUGGGCGAAAGCCUGAUGCAGCGACGCCGCGUGAGGGAUGGAGGCCUUCGGGUUGUAAACCUCUUUCGCUCAUGGUCAAGCCGCAACUGUGGGUUGUGGUGAGGGUAGUGGGUAAAGAAGCGCCGGCUAACUACGUG
rnacentral:rRNA from 1 species